GGGGGCGUAUUUUGGUUUCGACGGGGAUAACGGAGUUUCUAAAUAGCGAGUAGAGUUUUCGUGAAGUCUCUUAAAAAUUCACGGAAAAAAAGUAAACGACGAAAAUUAUCAAUUACAAGCUGCUUAAUUAAACGCAGCUUCAUUCUGUCUAUGAGUCCUACGGUGUAGAUAAGAGUGUCAAAUUUUAGUAGGGAAACGAGUCUUAGAAAGCUUUGACUAAGGAACGGAAUUUAUGAAGCUACUUUAAAUAAAUUUUGUUUAUGGAAGUUAUUUAAAGGAAAUUAAAACAUAAACUGCACUCGGAGAAGUUUAGGGAUGACUGUCUUCGGACAGGGGUUCAACUCCCCUCGCCUCCACCA
rnacentral:tmRNA from 1 species